rnacentral:rRNA from 1 species
AGCAGUCGCCACGGGAAUACGUAGGGUGCGAGCGUUAAUCGGAAUUACUGGGCGUAAAGCGUGCGCAGGCGGUUUUGUAAGACAGAGGUGAAAUCCCCGGGCUCAACCUGGGAACUGCCUUUGUGACUGCAAGGCUAGAGUACGGCAGAGGGGGAUGGAAUUCCGCGUGUAGCAGUGAAAUGCGUAGAUAUGCGGAGGAACACCGAUGGCGAAGGCAAUCCCCUGGGCCUGUACUGACGCUCAUGCACGAAAGCGUGGGGAGCAAACAGGAUUAGAUACCCCUGUAGUCCCUGUCUCUUAUAC